CACUCCUCAGGGCUGCAGCAGUGGGGAAUAUUGCACAAUGGGCGCAAGCCUGAUGCAGCCAUGCCGCGUGUAUGAAGAAGGCCUUCGGGUUGUAAAGUACUUUCAGCGAGGAGGAAGGCAUUAAGGUUAAUAACCUUAGUGAUGACUUAUCGAC
rnacentral:rRNA from 1 species